GCUUUCUACAGGCUUAACACAUGCAAGUCGAGGGGCAGCAUGGUCUUAGCUUGCUAAGGCCGAUGGCGACCGGCGCACGGGUGAGUAACACGUAUCCAACCUGCCGUCUACUCUUGGACAGCCUUCUGAAAGGAAGAUUAAUACAAGAUGGCAUCAUGAGUCCGCAUGUUCACAUGAUUAAAGGUAUUCCGGUAGACGAUGGGGAUGCGUUCCAUUAGAUAGUAGGCGGGGUAACGGCCCACCUAGUCUUCGAUGGAUAGGGGUUCUGAGAGGAAGGUCCCCCACAUUGGAACUGAGACACGGUCCAAACUCCUACGGGAGGCAGCAGUGAGGAAUAUUGGUCAAUGGGCGAGAGCCUGAACCAGCCAAGUAGCGUGAAGGAUGACUGCCCUAUGGGUUGUAAACUUCUUUUAUAAAGGAAUAAAGUCGGGUAUGGAUACCCGUUUGCAUGUACUUUAUGAAUAAGGAUCGGCUAACUCCGUGCCAGCAGCCGCGGUAAUACGGAGGAUCCGAGCGUUAUCCGGAUUUAUUGGGUUUAAAGGGAGCGUAGAUGGAUGUUUAAGUCAGUUGUGAAAGUUUGCGGCUCAACCGUAAAAUUGCAGUUGAUACUGGAUAUCUUGAGUGCAGUUGAGGCAGGCGGAAUUCGUGGUGUAGCGGUGAAAUGCUUAGAUAUCACGAAGAACUCCGAUUGCGAAGGCAGCCUGCUAAGCUGCAACUGACAUUGAGGCUCGAAAGUGUGGGUAUCAAACAGGAUUAGAUACCCUGGUAGUCCACACGGUAAACGAUGAAUACUCGCUGUUUGCGAUAUACUGCAAGCGGCCAAGCGAAAGCGUUAAGUAUUCCACCUGGGGAGUACGCCGGCAACGGUGAAACUCAAAGGAAUUGACGGGGGCCCGCACAAGCGGAGGAACAUGUGGUUUAAUUCGAUGAUACGCGAGGAACCUUACCCGGGCUUAAAUUGCAGAUGAAUUACGGUGAAAGCCGUAAGCCGCAAGGCAUCUGUGAAGGUGCUGCAUGGUUGUCGUCAGCUCGUGCCGUGAGGUGUCGGCUUAAGUGUCAUAACGAGCGCAACCCUUGUUGUCAGUUACUAACAGGUUCCGCUGAGGACUCUGACAAGACUGCCAUCGUAAGAUGUGAGGAAGGUGGGGAUGACGUCAAAUCAGCACGGCCCUUACGUCCGGGGCUACACACGUGUUACAAUGGGGGGUACAGAGGGCCGCUACCACGCGAGUGGAUGCCAAUCCCCAAAACCUCUCUCAGUUCGGACUGGAGUCUGCAACCCGACUCCACGAAGCUGGAUUCGCUAGUAAUCGCGCAUCAGCCACGGCGCGGUGAAUACGUUCCCGGGCCUUGUACACACCGCCCGUCAAGCCAUGGGAGCCGGGGGUACCUGAAGUGCGUAACCGCGAGGAGCGCCCUAGGGUAAAACUGGUGACUGGGGCUAA
rnacentral:rRNA from 1 species